rnacentral:snRNA from 1 species
CCUCAUCUUCAUCAACCA